rnacentral:rRNA from 1 species
AUUGAACGCUGGCGGCAGGCUUAACACAUGCAAGUCGAGCGGAGAGAGGUAGCUUGCUACUGAUCUUAGCGGCGGACGGGUGAGUAAUGCUUAGGAAUCUGCCUAUUAGUGGGGGACAACAUUCCGAAAGGAAUGCUAAUACCGCAUACGCCCUACGGGGGAAAGCAGGGGAUCUUCGGACCUUGCGCUAAUAGAUGAGCCUAAGUCGGAUUAGCUAGUUGGUGGGGUAAAGGCCUACCAAGGCGACGAUCUGUAGCGGGUCUGAGAGGAUGAUCCGCCACACUGGGACUGAGACACGGCCCAGACUCCUACGGGAGGCAGCAGUGGGGAAUAUUGGACAAUGGGGGGAACCCUGAUCCAGCCAUGCCGCGUGUGUGAAGAAGGCCUUUUGGUUGUAAAGCACUUUAAGCGAGGAGGAGGCUACUAGUAUUAAUACUACUGGAUAGUGGACGUUACUCGCAGAAUAAGCACCGGCUAACUCUGUGCCAGCCGCCGCGGUAACAC